UACGUAGGGUGCAAGCGUUGUCCGGAAUUAUUGGGCGUAAAGAGCUCGUAGGCGGUUUGUCGCGUCGGCCGUGAAAACUUGGGGCUUAACCCCGAGCCUGCGGUCGAUACGGGCAGACUUGAGUUCGGCAGGGGAGAAUGGAAUUCCCGGUGUAGCGGUGAAAUGCGCAGAUAUCGGGAGGAACACCGGUGGCGAAGGCGGUUCUCUGGGCCUUACCUGACGCUGAGGAGCGAAAGCGUGGGGAGCGAACAGG
rnacentral:rRNA from 1 species